UACGAAGGGUGCAAGCGUUACUCGGAAUUACUGGGCGUAAAGCGUGCGUAGGUGGUUUGUUAAGUCUGAUGUGAAAGCCCUGGGCUCAACCUGGGAAUUGCAUUGGAUACUGGCAGGCUAGAGUGCGGUAGAGGAUGGCGGAAUUCCCGGUGUAGCAGUGAAAUGCGUAGAGAUCGGGAGGAACAUCUGUGGCGAAGGCGGCCAUCUGGACCAGCACUGACACUGAUGCACGAAAGCUGGGGGAGCAAACAGG
rnacentral:rRNA from 1 species